rfam:Fictibacillus enclensis strain NIO-1003 genomic scaffold Scaffold1, whole genome shotgun sequence.
UGAUCCUUUAACCACAGUCCCGUGAGGCUGAGAAGGAAAACGGAAUUAGGCUAUAGGCCUAACUAUAUCCUCUCGUCUAUACGGCGAGAGGACUUUUUUGU